GUAGUCCAACAAAGAUAUAAUUUAAGAAAAAAAAAUAAAGCCCCACAAAGAUAUAGUAAUUAAUAAAUAGAAAUGUUUUGGAUGGACAGUAAACUCGCGCUGGGACGGCUGUCAACACUCGCGAUUGCCACGGUGACAGGAGUAAAUAUUACUAUUUGCGACUGCAAAACUCCCAAGGCAAUUGGCUAGCUGGACGCGGAGCUUCCUUCCGUUCUGAAGAU